rnacentral:rRNA from 1 species
UACGUAGGGCGCAAGCGUUGUCCGGAAUUACUGGGCGUAAAGAGUGUGUAGGCGGUGCUCCAAGUCUGGUGUGAAAUCUCCCGGCUUAACUGGGAGGGUGCAUUAGAAACUGGAAUGCUAGAGGAUGGGAGAGGUAAGCGGAAUUCCUGGUGUAGCGGUGAAAUGCGUAGAUAUCAGGAGGAACACCUGUGGUGUAGACAGCUUACUGGACCAUUUCUGACGCUGGGACACGAAAGCGUGGGUAGCAAACAGG